rnacentral:tRNA from 1 species
UGAAAGAUAAGCUAAUUAAAGCUGGUGUAUUCAUAUUUCAUUUAUAGAUUUUUCUUCUUUCUU